GACGAAGGAUGCAAGCGUUAUCCGGAUUCAUUGGGUUUAAAGGGAGCGUAGGCGGACUUAUAAGUCAGUGGUGAAAUCUCUGGGCUUAACUCAGAAACUGCCAUUGAUACUGUAGGUCUAGAGUACAUUUGCUGUGGGCGGAAUAUGGACAUGUAGUGGUGAAAUACUUAGAUAUGUCAUAGAACACCGAUUGCGAAGGCAGCUCACAAAAA
rnacentral:rRNA from 1 species